rnacentral:lncRNA from 1 species
AGUCAAUCUGGCUGGAAGCAAAGAAAGAGGCUGAGAUCUAGGAGGGUAGGCAGGGACAAUCAGGAAGCAGCCCCGGAUUUUCAGAAACGAUCUUUAGCAUCACCAAGACAUAGACUAAAGAAACAUGUAAUGCACAACUUAGGCUGCUCCUUCAUCCAAGGCAAUUCAAAUUUCCACGGAUACCAAGUCUUCAAUGGCCGGUGUCAACCAUUCAAUAGAAGCAUACCAGAAAAUGUUGCGAUUGCCUUCUUCACCACAAGAGUCUAAGUGACACAAAUUUGGGCAGAAGUAAUUAUUUGGCCAAGCCGGGAGGCAGGAAGCUUAAAUACCGCCUCUGUAGGAAGUGCGGGGGAUCCGAAGCAAACACCCCAAAGUUUGUUUGUGAGUGGAGGCGCGGAGGCGCCCGGAGCCACGCCGAAGCUCACCUGGUCAGCGCACAGAGCCGGGUAGGAGUCGGGUCUAGCCCUAGUUUGCUCCUGAGCGCUUCGUUCCUCUCAGGCUACUGCGUUUAAAUCAAUACUGGGUGGCAAACGAUACCCAUUCUUUGGGCUCUGAAGUUUGGAAUUCAUGGGUUCUGCGGCACAAGAAAGUUUCUUCACAGGUUAUUUCCCUGUCCGAGGCUGUCGCUUAGCUCAUCUCCUCCCGGUGCGGCCCUGGGGUGUCCACCAAGCCGCCGGGCAGAUCGCUGCCCCGUGCUGCGGCAUCUUGAUGCCCAGGACCCCGAGGCUGUGGGGCAGCCCCUCCUACCUGGGACAAGCGGCCAGAACUCCUUUUCCCACAGGGAAGAACACUCCAAGCCCCCGGAAGAGUGCGCAUCCUAAGGAGAUGUCUCCCAACGCCUAGACAAAGACAGCGCUGGGAAAAGUUGGACCAACUGGCACCCCCGCAAGGCGAACAGAGCAGUCCCCUCGGCCUUCGUGGCCGAGCCGGCUACGCGCUCUCGGAGUCGCGGCCAACUUUUCCCGCGAGCUUCUGAGCAACUUGCCGCAAGUUGGGGCGAGGGGGCAGAGCAGGGGUCAAGGGCGCGCGGAGGGACUGAUCUCGCUCCUGUCGGUUUCCUCGUACCUCCCCGCGUACCUGCUGAUGUAUCCGUCCCCGUCGCCGUCGCACGUCUGGAAGAGGCGCCGCAUCCUCUCCUCCUCGC